rnacentral:lncRNA from 1 species
CCCACCAAUUCCGGACACACCUGGAAUUCUUUGGAAGGCUGAAGCAAGAGGAUCAUUUGAGGCCAGGAGUUUGAGAAAUUCUAUGUGAUAUAAAGCAGAUGCAUAAAAUUUGCCCACAUCUGCAACUUACUUAUAAAAUGUUUUUUUCAAGAGACUGGAACUUCUAGUGCAUAAAUACAGUUUGGGUUUAAAAACCCAGAAUCCUGAAAAAAAUGGCUCUACUUAAAAAACGACUGUUUUUGGUAGUUGAACAGUAAUUUAAAGGGCUCUUCAGUGACGUUAGAAAUCAUUAAAUCCAAUUCUUUCCUUUUAAAUGUAAGGAAGCUGUUGAAGAAAAGUCCCAUGCUGUGUUUUAUGUUUUGAAGCCGAGGCCAAAUGUGGAGAUGGCAUAACCAGAAGAGGGAACGAACUGGCCUGGAUGUGACUCAUGCUUGGAAGGGAGCUGUCUGGAAGGACCACAGUACCUGCAGCCAACUUUGUGAGUCUGAAACUCAGAGGAGAGGUUCGAAUUGGAGAAACGAAUUUGGGAGUUGCCGACACAUAGAUUCUUAACGCCAUAGG